rnacentral:rRNA from 1 species
UUAACAAAAACAUGUCCUUUUGAUUAUAAUUUAAGGUCUAAUCUGCCCACUGAGAAGUUAAAUGGCCGCAGUAUUUUGACUGUGCAAAGGUAGCAUAAUAAUUAGUUUCUUAAUUAGAAGCUGGAAUGAAAGAUUGAAUGAGAAAAUAGCUGUCUCAAUUUAAUUUAAUUAGAAUUUUAUUUUUAAGUUAAAAAGCUUAAAUUUUAUUAAAAGACGAGAAGACCCUAUAGAGUUUAAUUUAAUUUUGUUAUAAAUAAAAAUUGAUUAAAAUUUAUUUAUAAAAAAAUUAAAUUUUGUUGGGGUGAUAGAAAAAUUUAAUAAACUUUUUUUAUAUAUAAACAUUAAUUAAUGAUUUUUUGAUCCAAAUAUUUUGAUUAAAAGAUAAAAUUACCUUAGGGAUAACAGCGUAAUUUUUUUUGAGAGUUCUUAUCGAAAAAAGAGAUUGCGACCUCGAUGUUGGAUUAAAGUUUACUUUUGGUGUAGAAGCUAAAAUAUUAGGUCUGUUCGACCUUUAAAACUUUACAUGAUCUGAGUUCAGACC